rnacentral:rRNA from 1 species
GAUGAACGCUGACGGCGUGCCUAAUACAUGCAAGUCGAGCGAACGGACGAGAAGCUUGCUUCUCUGAUGUUAGCGGCGGACGGGUGAGUAACACGUGGAUAACCUACCUAUAAGACUGGGAUAACUUCGGGAAACCGGAGCUAAUACCGGAUAAUAUUUUGAACCGCAUGGUUCAAAAGUGAAAGACGGUCUUGCUGUCACUUAUAGAUGGAUCCGCGCUGCAUUAGCUAGUUGGUAAGGUAACGGCUUACCAAGGCAACGAUGCAUAGCCGACCUGAGAGGGUGAUCGGCCACACUGGAACUGAGACACGGUCCAGACUCCUACGGGAGGCAGCAGUAGGGAAUCUUCCGCAAUGGGCGAAAGCCUGACGGAGCAACGCCGCGUGAGUGAUGAAGGUCUUCGGAUCGUAAAACUCUGUUAUUAGGGAAGAACAUAUGUGUAAGUAACUGUGCACAUCUUGACAGUACCUAAUCAGAAAGCCACGGCUAACUACGUG